CUGCGGAGGGAUCAUUACAAGUGACCCCGGUCUAACCACCGGGAUGUUCAUAACCCUUUGUUGUCCGACUCUGUUGCCUCCGGGGCGACCCUGCCUUCGGGCGGGGGCUCCGGGUGGACACUUCAAACUCUUGCGUAACUUUGCAGUCUGAGUAAACUUAAUUAAUAAAUUAAAACUUUUAACAACGGAUCUCUUGGUUCUGGCAUCGAUGAAGAACGCAGCGAAAUGCGAUAAGUAAUGUGAAUUGCAGAAUUCAGUGAAUCAUCGAAUCUUUGAACGCACAUUGCGCCCCCUGGUAUUCCGGGGGGCAUGCCUGUUCGAGCGUCAUUUCACCACUCAAGCCUCGCUUGGUAUUGGGCAACGCGGUCCGCCGCGUGCCUCAAAUCGACCGGCUGGGUCUUCUGUCCCCUAAGCGUUGUGGAAACUAUUCGCUAAAGGGUGUUCGGGAGGCUACGCCGUAAAACAACCCCAUUUCUAAGGUUGACCUCGGAUCAGGUAGGGAUACCCGCUGAACUUAAGCAUA
rnacentral:rRNA from 1 species